UACGUAGGGUGCGAGCGUUGUCCGGAAUUAUUGGGCGUAAAGGGCUCGUAGGCGGUUUGUCGCGUCGGGAGUGAAAAUCCAGGGCUUAACCCUGGACCUGCAUCGGGUACGGGCAGACUAGAGUGCGGUAGGGGAGAUCGGAAUUCCUGGUGUAGCGGUGAAAUGCGCAGAUAUCAGGAGGAACACCGGUGGCGAAGGCGGAUCUCUGGGCCGUAACUGACGCUGAGGAGCGAAAGCAUGGGGAGCGAACAGG
rnacentral:rRNA from 1 species